GAUUAAGUUAAAUUACUCCUCACACUUUGGCAAUCUCUUCUUUCUCUCUUAUCUCUCUUUCUUUCUUCUUCUCCGACUUGAGGUUUUCGGCGAUGGGAGACGAGAAACCGGCGAUUGUGAUGGCCAAACGUGAAAGAGAUCGAGAGGCUUGAUUCCCGUCGCUGAUUCCGGCGACAAAGACGCAAUCCAGCCACGAGAUCUACAUUUUCUUUUCACCUGAUCUAGAAUCUUGUUAUUCGUUUUCUCAUUUCAAGAUUCAUGUGAAAAUAACAGCAGAAUUGGAUUGAAUUAGAAUUGGAAUUGGAUUGUGGUUUGAUGCUUUAGCUAUUUUCUGCAAUCAAAAUUUUCUGGAAUUCUGAAUUGAUUUGAAGUUUAUGACAGGCUGGUAAUCAAAAUUUGAGGUUUUGCAUUUGAUGAAGUUGUCACAGAUUCAAGAUUUGUGCUGAUAGUUUUAAUUCUCAAUUGUUUUUUGAUUCUUUGAAAUGGUUUCUCUGAAUCUGUCUAAGUAAUUUUGAUGUCAAGGGCUAAAUUUGGAUUUACUUCCUGUGUGUCAUUUAUCUUAUAACUAUUCUUGUUAAUAUGUAUGUUCUAAUGUGUCGUUGAUACUUUUGGUCAUCUGCUUUUGUGCGGUUUAGGUCUCGAGAUAAGCAGAGGAAAGAGGCGUUGAAGAUUUGGUGCAAGCUGCGACUCCAUGGUCACAACUCCACCCCACGAAUCCUCUUACAUUGUACUCAUCGUUCCUGCAAAUCAAUCAAACAGUUAAACUUCGUUUUCAGAAGAAAUUCAAAAAGAGGGUUAAAGAUCAUGGCAUAUUUUGUUCUUCCUCCUUGGAUCCUUGUUCUUCAACUCUUUGUGGCAGUGAUUGCAAUUGUGGGAUUCUACUCUCAAGCUGUUCGUCUAGUAGCAAAUGCAGAAGUGACUGCACCAACAAGCCCGUUCCAACAACGAUAUAUCAAGAAGAUGAAGUUAGUUCAUGAGCUAUGAAGUCAAGCAUCUACAAGAAAGAAGAAUGGGUUCUCAUAUAUUAUGUACAGUGGAGAAAACACAACACGUUUGGAUAGUCAAUUCUAUGAAUCUGAUAAUUAAAUAAAUCUCAAGCUUUUUUUAAUUCCCUUAGUGUGGAUAAUUUGGAUUUAAAAAAUUCUAAAAAAUUCUCAAGCUUUGGAUUUAAUAAAUUAUCCAAAUUAUCAAUCAGGGUAUAGAGGGAAUAAGUUUGAGGGUAUCCAAAUUAUCAAUUCAAAUAGAAUUGACUAUCCAAAUUAUCAAAACUCUAUACCCUGAAGUUUAAUUAUCAAAAGAAUCAUGAUCUUUAAUUAUCAAAAUUAUCCAAAUUAUCAGAUUCAUAGGGUUAAUUUCCUAAACCCUAACCUCUAUACCCUACUUUUAGGGUAUUGAAGUUUGAGGUUGAAUUCAUGAUCUUUAAUUUAUAUAUCUUAGUGUUAUUAAAAGUAGAAAUAUAAAUGGAUUAAUGAAUUUAACCACUUUCAAAAUUCUAAACUUAAAACUCUAAAUAUUGAAACUUAAAAGCCAAACCCUAAAUUAUGAAUCCUAACCAAUAAACUUGAUUCACACAUAAAAACUAUAAAAUUUAAAUAUAAUUAUUUUUCAAAUGAAGUUGCUUAUGAGAUAUGUUUUCAAAUAGUUUUAUGAUAUACUCUAGUUUAUCUUUUAUCAAUUUAUCACAUAUUAGAAAUUAAUCUACUAAUUAGAAAAAAUAACAUAAGAAAAACCUUUUUAAAAUACAAAUACGCUGACUUGUUUCUGAUUGGCUAAUUCUUAAAGGUGAGGAUCACACCUGAUUUGAUAUCCACCGUUGAUAACAGUAAAAUCAACGGACAGAUUUAGUUCUCUCACUUCUCUACCUCUUAACAUUCUCUCAUCUUUCUCGAGAAUACAUUCUUUUUACGAGAUCUCUGGCUUCCCCUUCCUCUCUCUUCUUGUUCGAUUUUGUUUGAUUUACUUGGUUCUCGGUUUCUUAUGGGAUUGUAAGUAAAAAUAUCAAAUUUUGAAACGCCUCUAUAAUCUCUCUUUCUCUCCCUCGCAAGUUCUUCUCCGAUUUGUGAUAGUCUUGCCUGCUUUUGUUUUUGUUGUUGCCAUAAUCGAAGUUUUUUGUUCUCAAUCUCCUGAGAAAUUAUGAAUCAUCUAGAUGCAGCCACUCACUGUUGAUAAUCUUCCCUUGAUUUGACGACCGCCGUCAUCGAAGCCCAACACAUGAUCGGAGUUCCACUUAACCAAAUCAUUCAAAAAUAAUUGCAUUAACUAUCCAAUAAUUCCCGCUCGCCCAUCCUAUCUCUAAUUGCAUCCAUGUCAAAUUUCCAUCUCCUCUUUAUUAUGGUUUUUUAUUUUUUUACUUUUUAAAGUUAAAAACAAAAAAUUGUUUUGAUUUUUUUAUUUCUCGCAGAUUUUAAAUAAAAUUCCAGAAGGAGAGAUGCUCGUUCUGUGGAGAUGAAGAGGCGCAAUUGGAAUUAAUAUUCAAUGUUUUUAGAAUUAAUUCUAGACUUUAAUGGAAUUAAGAUUUGAAUUGUUUUGGAUUUAAUAAAUGCAAAUACCAUAUGUACUUUUACUUUUUAAUUUUGUAUUUUACUUUGUAAUAUAAUAUUUUAUAUUA